rnacentral:rRNA from 1 species
CCAAUAGCGUAUAUUAAAGUUGUUGCAGUUAAAAAGCUCGUAGUUGAACUUCAGGCCUGGCUGGACGGUCCGCCUUCCGUGCGAGUACUGUCUGUGGUCGGGUACUACCUUCUGGCGAAGCGUCAUGGCCUUAACCGGCCGUGGCGGGGAACCAGGACUUUUACUGUGAAAAAAUUAGAGUGUUCAAAGCAGGCAAUGCGCUUGGGUACAUUAGCAUGGAAUAAUGGAAUAGGACAAUGGUUCUAUUUGUUGGUUUCUAGGACUGUUGUAAUGAUUAAUAGGGAUAGUUGGGGGCAUUAGUAUUCAAUUGUCAGAGGUGAAAUUCUUUGAUUUAUUGAAGACUAACUACUGCGAAAGCAUUUGCCAAGGAUGUUUUCAUUAAUCAAGAACGAAAGUUAGGGGAUCGAAGACGAUCAGAUACCGUCGUAGUCUUAACCAUAAACUAUGCCGACUAGGAAUCGGGCGAUGUUGACAAAAUGACGCGCUCGGCACCUCAUG